GAUAUAGUAUGCGAGCAUAUAUAUUCAAUGUAACAAAACCCCCCAUACUUAAACCUUGCUUAUCCUCAAGCAAAUUUGAGUUAAAAUACAUGGAAAAUGUGCGAAAUUCAUAGCCUUAGAUCCCCCUUUGGCUUAUGCUUUUAUGCAACCAAAGAAAUAUAGUUAAAAAAAUUUCCUUGUCAAGGCUUAAACCAGUCAGUGCUCAAUCACAAUUUGGUCAUCAACUUAAUGUUCUCAGGAACUUCCUAGCAUAACCUCUCUUCUAGUUCUUUUGCACUUCAAAGCAAGCAUAUGCACACUUCAUUCCCCUUCACAACCUCUAUAGAUUUUUAUGAUUCUUGACCCUAUAAACAAAAUUGUACUCCCGAUCUCCACUAAUAUAGGUGUAACAUCUCCAAGGAUCAAAUAGGUCUUUAAUUUGGUGGAAACAUGGCUAAGGUUCUUACAGAUAAGCUUUUUUGGAUUGUGCAUCUUUCCUUCUUCAAAUGGAUCAGAUGAACUUUGGUGUCUAUCACUUGUCAUUAGUCAUGUACUCUCAUGCAAGGUAUGAGCAGUGACAUUUUUGGGAGAGUAGCUUCAGAGGGUUAUUCAACAUAAGGCUCAGGAUCGAUGGUAUAGAGAUUGUGGAGUGAGUGACCCUACAUUUAGGUGGGGUAGCCUUCAUUUCAAUGAAAGAUGGUUGUUUGACAAUAAAGGUUUUCUUAGUCAUGGUAUAGGUGUAUGUAUUUGGUAAAGUUAAAAUAAAGACUAUGAAAGAUAGUGGAUGAAAAGUUGUUUUAUAUAAAAGACAGAUUGUGAGUCAUUUAGGUGGGAAAACCAAACCCUAGCCACAAUCUUAGGCACCAAGCCAAUCGAUAAGUAAAUCGACGUGCUCCAAGAUAAAGGUGUGACAUAGGCUAUAAUCAUUGCUAAUGGACGUCUGUCUGUAGGCAUUAGAGAGAAUUUUGCUUUUUUUGUUUUUACCCAUGUAAAUUCACAAAUUUAUAAUGUUGAUCUAUCCUUAAACCCAUGAAAAUUUUUACUUAGCCUAAUUUGUGUAUAAGAAUGAACCCUAGUAUAAUAUUUCCUUGCUUAAGCAAUUUUAGUGACAGUAAGUUAACCAUCCACACAACUCAAUUCAAAGCAGAUGAAAGACACAUGGGAAAGUAGUAAUCAAUAAAUAAGUGACGUCUUGAGAGACUCCCCUAAAAAUGUGAGGUGUGUUACUUGCAUCUGUGAGCGUUUUGUUUAGUUCAAGCGAUCAAUUGCAAGUUUUGAACCUUCAUUUAUGCUUAAGGGCUCGUAAUUAAAAGAAAAAAAACUAAUUAAAAAUAAAAAAAUAAAAAAUAAAAAGUUUGGGUUGCCUCUCAAUAAUGCUUAUUUUUUGUCUUUAGCUCGACCCAUAUGUAUGCUUAGGUUAAAGUUGGGUCAGACAUUAGUCAUGAUACUUCCACUGUCAUCGAUUCAUUUAUGAACAAUGGUUUAAGAUGUUAGUUGUUUACUUUAAAAGCGCCCAUAUUCUCAUUCCAAAUUUCCUUUACUCCAUAUAGGUAUAACAGUACUAUUUAACACUUACAAGUACGUCUCAGGGACAAAAUAAUCUUUAUGCAUAAGUUUAUUUGAUGUUUUUAUGAGGUAAUAAGGUUUAAAAGUCAAACUAUGAGUUUAGAGUGACACACAACUGUGUAUGGUAAGGCAAUACCCUUGUAUCAAUGCCACAUUAGUCAAAUAAGAUGACUUCCCCGUAAUUUUCAAAUUUA